GCGUCAUUAUCAACCAUCAAGCCUGGCUUGGUAUUGGGCGUCGUCCCCCGUGGACGUGCCUUAAUUGCCUCGGCGGCGGUUUCAAACCUCAAGCGUAUAGAAUCUUUUAUUUAGCUUUUUAGGGUUGAAGUUGCUUUGCUCGAGAACACAUUUACCUCAAGGUUGACCUCGGAUCAGGUAGGGAUACCCGCUGAACUUAA
rnacentral:misc_RNA from 1 species